CUAACACGACUUUGGGGUGGCAGAGCGCGGCAUUGCAAAAGACCUAAGCCCUUACCACCGAGAGUUCAAAUCUCUCCCCCAACU
rnacentral:tRNA from 1 species